rnacentral:rRNA from 1 species
UAUGGUAAUGCCAGCAGCCGCGGUAAUACGUAGGCGGCAAGCGUUGUCCGGAAUUAUUGGGCGUAAAGGGAGCGCAGGCGGGAAACUAAGCGGAUCUUAAAAGUGCGGGGCUCAACCCCGUGAUGGGGUCCGAACUGGUUUUCUUGAGUGCAGGAGAGGAAAGCGGAAUUCCCAGUGUAGCGGUGAAAUGCGUAGAUAUUGGGAAGAACACCAGUGGCGAAGGCGGCUUUCUGGACUGUAACUGACGCUGAGGCUCGAAAGCUAGGGUAGCGAACGGG